CUUGACAUUAUUAGGUAUUCUUGAAGCUGUGUACUCUAUUGUGUUGAAUUAUGAGGGCUAAGUUUCAAAGUUUGCCCUAAAUUGAUUACAUUUGAGAUUAGUCCCAUCUGUUUGAGAUUGAAAUGGAUAUAGUAAUAGUUUAUGAUUUGAGUGCACUUGUUGUUCAGCUUUGUUCCUCUCGAUUGUCUACUUGAUUCAUGUGACUAUUUUUGUUAUGCACUUAUUGCCCAUAACCUGUUCGAUAAAAUGUGGCAACAUAGCAAAUGGACACUGUACUUGGUUGGCUUACUACUUAAUAUCCAGCCAGAGAAGUCCUACUCAACACAGGAACUUUGCCAUCUUCUGGGAACUGUAAUUGUGAAGAAGGCAUGGGUGCAAUCUAUAUUGGGUGGGUCCUACUAUCAUAGUCAUUUUCCCAUUUACUAGCAGGGUCAAGCUCUAUUACUACAUGUUUGAGAGACCUCAUAUGUAGGUGAUACGCUAGAGCAAGGCAUCCCCAAAAUAUGCUGGAGUGGUAGAUGCGAGUGAGAAACAGUUCACUAUGAGGAUUUGGAGCUUUUUUUUUUUUCAAUUGGAUGAAGGUAUAUUUGCCUUCUGUAAUUUGCAAAAGCUUGAAGGCAUUUUUUUUAAUUGCUGGGAAGGAGCACAUUCAGCUUACUUGCAAUUUACGAUGACUAAUCUGGAAGGAUAGAACAAAGCAUAGUUUAGUGAAUCUAGAUUAGAAAUGGACAAGGUUGCACAUAAAAGCCACUCAGGAACAGUGAGAAUAUAACAUGAGGAGUUUGAGCGUAGUGGAAAUGGAACAUAUUGACGUUUGCAUCAAAAGAUGAACUCUGCUGCAACAAUCUGUCCAAUUAAGAACAAGUUAGGAUAUGGGGUAAUUGCAAGCAACUGACCUAGGGAGAUUGUAGAAAGCUGGGCAACAUCAGAAGCAAGUCAAGGCAGCAAGGAUCCUGCAGAAGCUGAAGCUAGCAAAUAUGAUUAACCAAAGCCAUUAAUUUACAAUUACUAAUUUGAUGCUAAAGCUGCAAACAUAGCCGAAGAUAUAUUGGUCUUGAGUCCUCUGUUUUGUAUGUGGUCGGUUUCAAAAGAAUGUAAGGGUUCGGGAAGAGCAAUGGAUAAAACUUUGGGCUUAUUGAAAAAGUGAAGAAGCAAAGGUGCAAAUCAGUUACAACAUUCUUAAUAAAGUUGUAUUUAUUCAAUGUUGUAAUCUUGGUUAUGAUUUUGAAAUUUAGAAACUAAGUUUGUACUUGUUAGGGAUUUGCUAUGUUAGUACUUGUUACUGACUUUUAGUUCAACAAAUUAUAUUUGA